rnacentral:tRNA from 4 species
CUUAGCUCAGUUGGUAGAGCAAUGGAUUGAAAAUCCAUGUGUCCCUGGUUCGAUUCCUGG